UACAGAGACUGCAAGCGUUAUUCGGAUUCACUGGGCGUAAAGGGCGCGUAGGCGGCUCAUGAAGGCUGUGGUGAAAGUCCGGGGCUCAACCUCGGAUCGGCCGUGGCGACUCGUGGGCUGGAGCACUGUAGAGGCGGGUGGAAUUCCGGGUGUAGCGGUGGAAUGCGUAGAGAUCCGGAAGAACACCAGUGGCGAAGGCGGCCCGCUGGGCAGUGGCUGACGCUGAAGCGCGACAGCGUGGGGAGCAAACAGG
rnacentral:rRNA from 1 species